AAGCGGGUGGAGCAUGUGGUUUAAUUCGAAGCAACGCGCAGAACCUUACCAGCCUUGACAUGGGGAUCGCGGUCGACGGAGACGUGACCUUCAGUUCGGCUGGAUCCCGCACAGGUGCUGCAUGGCUGUCGUCAGCUCGUGUCGUGAGAUGUUGGGUUAAGUCCCGCAACGAGCGCAACCCUCGUCCUUAGUUGCCAGCAUUCAGUUGGGCACUCUAAGGAAACUGCCGGUGACAAGCCGGAGGAAGGUGGGGAUGACGUCAAGUCCUCAUGGCCCUUACGGGCUGGGCUACACACGUGCUACAAUGGCGUCUACAGUGGGCAGCGAACCGGCGACGGUAAGCUAAUCUCCAAAGGACGUCUCAGUUCGGAUUGUUCUCUGCAACUCGAGAGCAUGAAGUCGGAAUCGCUAGUAAUCGUGGAUCAGCAUGCCACGGUGAAUACGUUCCCGGGCCUU
rnacentral:rRNA from 1 species